ensembl:lncRNA
UUGUCUUUGGUGAGCCUGGGAGGCCAGCAGCCCUGAGUUUUGCUCCCUCGGUUACAGAUGCACCAGACCUCCAGUUUCCUGGGUCCUCCACUCCCUUGGCUCAGAUGGACGAAUGGCGCCAUGGAAGAGCUGGAGGCUGCACUUGGAUGGAACCAGCCCCUGUUCCUCAGCUGGAAACAUAGGGAGUUGGAAAAUGCAGUACAAUUGCCUUUUUGGAGGUAUACCUCUAUGCAUAUUAACAGCGUAUACGUGGGUGUGAGCGCUUCUACCCUCAGGACACAGAACAGUCCCCCAGGCAAAAAUGUCCCAUGCCACUUUGUCAUCCACAUCUUCUCCCCCCACCCUUGACUCUUAACAACUAUACUUUUGUCUGUUCGAGAAUAUCAUGUAAAUAAAAGAAAUUAUGCUGAGA